AUUGAACGCUGGCGGCAUGCCUUACACAUGCAAGUCGAACGGCAGCACGGGAGCAAUCCUGGUGGCGAGUGGCGAACGGGUGAGUAAAGUAUCGGAACGUGCCCAGUCGUGGGGGAUAACGUAGCGAAAGUUACGCUAAUACCGCAUACGAUCUAUGGAUGAAAGCGGGGGAUCGCAAGACCUCGCGCGAUUGGAGCGGCCGAUAUCAGAUUAGGUAGUUGGUGGGGUAAAGGCUCACCAAGCCGACGAUCUGUAGCUGGUCUGAGAGGACGACCAGCCACACUGGGACUGAGACACGGCCCAGACUCCUACGGGAGGCAGCAGUGGGGAAUUUUGGACAAUGGGCGAAAGCCUGAUCCAGCCAUGCCGCGUGCAGGAUGAAGGCCUUCGGGUUGUAAACUGCUUUUGUACGGAACGAAAAGGUUUGGCCUAAUAAGCUGAGCUCAUGACGGUACCGUAAGAAUAAGCACCGGCUAACUACGUGCCAGCCGCCGCCGUAACAC
rnacentral:rRNA from 1 species